rnacentral:lncRNA from 1 species
UGGAUGGUUAGCUUCGCAUAAGAGUGUGUGGGUUAAGGAAAUGAUCAGCAGGACAGGAAAACUUAUCUUCUUGCAUCCAUGGAGGAGGCCGUGGGGUAUGGAGUCCAUUUGUAGAGAUGGUGGCUUCGGUGGACAAUUGAAAACUAAAUCAAGUUUCGCAGCUCUGCCCGAGCUGACCUUGUUCACUAAGACGCCAUGUCCUCUUUGUGAUGAGGCCCUGCAGGCUCUGGCUCCAGCCCUCAAUGAGGUAUCUCUUCGCAAGGUGGACAUCACACUCCCAGAGAACAAACAAUGGCACAAGCUUUACCGCUACGAUAUACCGGUGUUUCAUUUCAAUGGCGCUUUUCUUAUGAAACACCGGGGUGACCUGCGUACUCUCUCCAAAGCGCUGGAGUCAUGGAAGGCUUCAUUACGAGCUUAGACAACUGUACCAUCAGUAAUGAAAACCGGACGAUUGAUGUGUGUUAGGACCCAGGCGCAGGAUAAGUACGAGCAGAAUGAUCAGAAGAUCAGAUGAGAUUCUUCUGAUCCAGGUGAUGGCUAAGCCAUUGUGAAGACCAGUGUACUUGUGUCUAUGUAUGUAUUAAAAUGUGAAUUGCAGUUUGCAAGAAUACGAGCUCUUGCAUUUUUAACUCGCGUGCAAACAUCUGGAAUUCAAACAUCUACGAGCUACGUGCGAUAAAGCACCUCAUAACUGCUGCCAUAGAACUCAUUACAAGCAAACCAAUGCGGGAAACCUCAAACGACAGCA